UCCUUGGUGGCCUAAUGGCUAAGGUGCUGCACUCCCAAUGCAGGGCGCCUGGGUUUGAUUCUUGGUCAGGGAA
rfam:Ovis aries breed Texel chromosome 1, whole genome shotgun sequence.